CAUUCAUUAUUCAAUAUUAGAAUUCUGACUUGAGCUCUUAGGAAAAAAAAAUAGAAAAGAUGACUCCAGGAAAGUAAUGAGGAUGCUGAAUGGUAUAAUGUUAUGGUAUUGAUGUCUGUGUCAGUGAGAGAUUGACAUGGAUUAGCAUCGAGGGAUAGAAAAACAUAAUGGCCGCCUCCGUUAAAGAUUCAGAGAUCAGCCCGACUCGUCACAAAACAAAACAAACCUUCACGUGUGCUCAUCUUGUACGUAAUGUUUUAGAUUUUUCUUUUUUUAUCCGUUUGCCCUUUAAUUAAAAUACUUUGUUUGUUUGUUUUACGUUGUUGAGAAAAAGACGUUGUAUGUGCCUAUACAUUUCACCUUUUGUUCUUAGUAUUUCUCUUUGUUGAUCUCUUUAUUUGUAUGGAGAUCUGUGUGAAAAUGUAAAAUGUGCUCUCUCUCUCUUUUUCCCCUCUCUUUGCCCUAAACGCAGGGUAACACAUGAUCUAUGACAUUCUAUCGACACGGUCUUCUCCUCUGGAAGACCGUCAGGCGAACAGAAACAUGGCUCGAUCUUUUUCUAGUGGAUAUUUUUACCAUGAACAGAAAGGAUGGCUGCAGCAAGACUACAUGGAAAAAAGGCUUGAGUCCCAAAUGGCAUUAUGUUCCCUAUGUAGUACACUACAUUUGGCUGGAGCCCUGGUCAUAAAGUAGUGCUCUAUAUAUAUAUAGAAUAGGAUACCAUUUAAGAUACAACCAAUGCUUUUGAUUUAUUUUAUUGCAUUGUACUGUUCCAUAGAGCAAUUGAAGGACAAAUUGCUAGUAAACUAUUUUUUUUAACCUUUAUUUCACUUGGCAAGUCAGUUAAGAACAAAUUCUUAUUUUCAAUGACGGCCUAGGAACAGUGGGUUAACUGCCUGUUCAGGGGCAGAACGACAGAUUUGUACCUUGUCAGCUCGGGGAUUCGAACUUGCAACCUUUCGGUUACUAGUCCAACGCGGGAACUUUAUAUGAUAACAUUUAAUAUAUUAUUUACAGCAUUACUCUUACUUUUAUUUAAUUUAUGAAAAACAAUUUCAUCAUUCUGGAAAUUUUUGUUUAGCUUAAGACAAAAAACAAAUAGGAAAACGUAUUCAAGUCUUUUUACUCAAUUUCUGUCUGAGAGGUGUCUGUCCCAUUGAAUAGCCUCUUCCUGUUGUCAUUUUCCCAUCAGCCACUUCAGGAUUACGGUAUCCAUAUUAGGAUAGAGUCACAAGGCGUUACUCCUAGUUAGGACACUGUACAGGGUAGCACUUCCUCUCAGAAAAGGAACACAUCCACAGUAACUUUGAGCUGCGAAAUGACAUAGACAAACUGUCUACAUUGUCCAUAUAUUUGAAUAACAAGUCAAAUUUGAAGUUGAAAGUUAGUCGAAAUUUGAAAGACCAAAUAGUUUGCGAUAGCUAGCUGUGCUCUGAGACUUUUCCCAGUCAGGACUGGACAAUAAAGGGCCUCUGUGUACUGGUUGUAAACAUAGAGGGAUUCAAGGCUUGAGUCCCAAAUUACACCCUAUUCCCUAUGUAGUGUACUACUUUUGACCAGGGCCCCAUAGGGAACAGGGUACCCUUUUGGGACUCCUCUCAAGGUGACCUUCAUUUAGCCAAAUGUGCUGACGAGAGAGCCGGUGUGUCUGUGAGAUAAUGGGAUAUUGGGUUUUACUAAUGAGAGAUCACUGUGCCAUUAAAAGGGUUGGAGCACCCAACCACCCAAUGAAUGUGGCCUUCAACACCUGUUAUGGAUUAAAGGCUAUGGUUAUAACCUGUUAUAGAUUAAAGGCUAUGGUUAUAACCUGUUCUACAUGAUAUGCUAUGGUUAUAACCUCUUAUGGAUGAUAUGCUAUGGUUAUAACCUCUUAUGGAUGAUAUGCUAUGGGUAUAACCCAUGGGUAUAACCCUAACUCAGGUGAGUUGGGUGCAGGCUGGGCUGAGGUGAGGUGGAGACAGGCAGAGUUAGAGACAGAUAGCAGGCUGGGCUGAAGUGAGGUGGAGACAGGUAGAGUUAGAGACAGAUAGCAGGCUGGGCUGAGGUGAGGUGGAGACUGAGGUGAGGUGAGGUAGAGACUGAGGUGACAGUGAGAGCAGGUAUAGUUAGAGACAGAUAGCAGGCUGAGGUGAGGUGGAGACUGAGGUGACAGUGAGAGCAGGUAUAGUUAGAGACAGAUAGCAGGCUGAGGUGAGGUGGAGACUGAGGUGAGGUGAGGUGAGGUGGAGACUGAGGUGACAGUGAGAGCAGGUAUAGUUAGAGACAGAUAGCAGGCUGAGGUGAGGUGGAGACUGAAGUGAGGUGGAG